GAUGAACGCUGGCGGCGUGCCUAAUACAUGCAAGUCGAACGAAACUUCUUUAUCACCGAGUGCUUGCACUCACCGAUAAAGAGUUGAGUGGCGAACGGGUGAGUAACACGUGGGCAGCCUGCCCAAAAGAGGGGGAUAACACUUGGAAACAGGUGCUAAUACCGCAUAACCAUAGUUACCGCAUGGUAACUAUGUAAAAGGUGGCUAUACUACCGCUUUUGGAUGGGCCCGCGGCGCAUUAGCUAGUUGGUAGGGUAAAGGCUUACCAAGGCAAUGAUGCGUAGCCGAAUUGAGAGGUUGAUCGGCCACAUUGGGACUGAGACACGGCCCAAACUCCUACGGGAGGCAGCAGUAGGGAAUCUUCCACAAUGGGCGAAAGCCUGAUGGAGCAACGCCGCGUGGGUGAAGAAGGUCUUCGGAUCGUAAAACCCUGUUGUUAGAGAAGAAAGUGCGUGAGAGUAACUGUUCACGUUUCGACGGUAUCUAACCAGAAAGUCACGGCUAACUACGUG
rnacentral:rRNA from 1 species